ensembl:lncRNA
UGGGGUUCUUAAUGUGCAGUCUUUUAUUGUUGGUGAAGACAGAAUAAGCAACAGAAAACAAAUGUCGUUGAGACGGUGAUGUACACUGUCUUGUUGGUAUUCUGGUAUUCUAAACAGUACUUAGCCGGAACCCAAAGACUGCUUGGUCAAGUUAACUUCCUGAACUAUCUACAACACAUGGCAGAAGCCUGAAAUUAAGACAGUGAAGACUAGAGGUGAGACAUGAUCAUUACUGAAUAUUUAAAAUAAUAAAUGACAGAUUUAGUGAUAUUUUCAUAAACUAUUUAUUUACCAAAUCAAUAAACAGCAUGGCAGGGCAAAAUAUUUUUCUAACAUGGCAAACUUUAAAAAGUGAAAGGAGACAGAAAGACAGGUGAGAAAGAAUAAAACUUAAUUGACUUUUUGAUGGCAUUUUACACACAGUAGUGGUACAGAAUCCAGAAAAUGUGGGAAAAUACUGUCAUCAUACUGUAUACAGUACUUACUGAUAAAAUGUUUUCGAGAGUCAUUGGCCCCUAACAGUCAGAUGAAUGUUCGGUAGAAGGCGGUAAAAUCGCACAAGUUCCGGUUUCAUGUGAUUAACGAUGCUCCGUGUCUCUGUCAGCUGUUUUACUGAGCCAUGAGCUCCAUGAAGAGAGUCCAGUGAUUCCACUAGAUGGAUCCUUCCAGCGUGAUCUCCAGGAUCCAGACCUGCACACACUCAGACUGCGGGGAUUUAUCUGCCUUGUAGGAGGAUCGCAUCACUCACCCCGACUGGUGAGAGAGCAGGAGUGUGUGUGUGUGUGUGAGAGAGAGAGAAAGAGAGAUUUGAAGGCGUGAAGGCGUGCGUGAAGAAGAGAAGCAGCAUUAAACCAUCAGAGCUCAGAGCUGACAUGAAACACACUUUGGUCUGCUUCAUCUUCCUCACAGCACUUCAGGAUGGAAACACUGGUUUGGUCAAAGCACAAACUCUCACCCACAGAGCAGAGGAAGGAGGAAACAUCACAGUUGCAUGCAGCUUUUAUUUCUCUGGAAGCAGGAAACUGUUCUGUAAGGAAAAAUGUGAAAAUGGAAACAUUCUUGUUGAAACAUCUGAUGAUGCAGCUCAGAACGGCAGAUACAGCAUUAAAUAUGAAAACAAAGGCUUUUUCUCAUCUGAUAUUAUGUAUGUGAGCAUCAAACAGCUGAAACAGUCUGACUCAGGAUGGUACAGGUGCUCUUUGGACAGAGUCUUGUUGACAGAUGGAAACGAUGAUUUUGAGCUGAUUGUCACAGCAGCUUCAACCACUUCAACACCAAACGGGACUCUGAGACCUUUUUCAGCUUCAGUGUUUCUCUCAUCAGCCUCCACACCACCAACAACACAGAGUUUCAGCUCAACUUCAGGAAGCUCCACACCUUCAUCAGCCUCCUCUGGAAGUUCAGAUGUGCUGAUUUUUGUGCGUCUGAUUCUGGUCGUAAUCAUCACCGUCUUUUUAGUAACUUCAUUGAUUUUCUACAUGAUGAGGAGGACCGCUAAACCCAGAGGACCUCCUGUGGAAUCUGAGCGUGCUGACAUCACACAGGGCAACAACAUAUAUGUAGAGAUCAGAGAGGAGGACAGACAGAGCAGCUCACCUCCUGCAGGAGUGUUUUCAACAGAUGCUACACCAAAAGCCUCCAACCACAUGGAGAUGAAAACAAUAGACCUCCACAGCCUCUCCGCCUCUCCUCAGAACAAAGUCCAUGCCAGCCCUGCCGACCACACCACAGAUGCUUCACCUCCUCAUCUGUCCAAAAACAUCAGUAGUGAUGCUGCUGAUGGAACCUCGGUGGCUAACAGAUGAACAGAAUCCAUACAACAGUAUAUUUUUCUGUUUAUGACCAUCUUUAUAACUUGCUGUCAAACAAUUACGCUGAGAGUUGUUUUUAUUACAGCUACUUUUAAUUUAGUUUAACAGAUGGCAUGAUGGUAUGACUGACAGGCUGUUCCUGGAGCAAGAUCCUUAAAUGCAGUCAGCAAAAAGGCUCCAGGUGGCAAACUUCAUCUAUUUUAUGUUAGUGUGUCUUUUAAUCAAACCACUGGAACUCAGAUAAACUUCUGUGUCACCUGUUACUGUUGUCAUCAGUCAGACUGAAACAAACACAAUAAAAAGACAAAAAAAAAAUAUGUACACU